rnacentral:misc_RNA from 1 species
CAACCCUCAAGCUUAGCUUGGUGUUGGGGAUCGGCAAGGCGUCCUCCGGGUCGCGCCGUCCCCCAAAUUUAGUGGCGGUCUCGCUGUAGCUUCCUCUGCGUAGUAAUACACCUCGCUCUGGAGUCUCGGUGCGGCCACGCCGUAAAACCCCCAACUUUUUCUGG